CUUCGUCCCAUCUCUAAUUCUGUAAUAGAAGCAGAAUCAUAGAGCCUUGCAUUCCAUUCCAUCACUAUCAAUGGAGGCAACAUUGAAGCUCCGGUUCUUUGCGAUCGCUCUCAUGGCCGUGAUUUUGAUGGGUUCUGUCGUUAAGAGGGUUGCGGCUGCCGAUGCACCGGCACCUAGCCCCACCUCCGGUGCCACCGUCUCUGCCCCUGCUGCUGCUGUUUCCUGCCUGACUGCUCUGGCUUUGGGGAUUCUCUUCUGCUGAGCUGCUGAGAUCGAGGUUUCCGUUUAUAUGUAUGUAUCAGAUGUAUUCUUUUGGUGUUGGUUGGA
rnacentral:misc_RNA from 1 species